rnacentral:rRNA from 1 species
GGACUACACGGGUAUCUAAUCCUGUUUGCUCCCCACGCUUUCGUGCUUCAACGUCAGGUGCGAGCCAAGGAGCUGCCUUCGCCAUCGGUGUUCCUCCUGAGAUCUACGCAUUUGACCGCUACUCCAGGAAUUCCACUCCUCUCUCUCGCCCUCUAGUCUGCCAGUUUCCGCCACCUUUCUCCGGUUAAGCCGAAGUCUUAAACGACAGACUUAACAAACCGUCUACGCACCCUUUACGCCCAAUGAUUCCGAAUAACGCUUGCACCCCUCGUAUUACCGCGGCUGCUGGCAC